GUGCAGAUCCCCCUUGGAGCUCAUCUGAGACUUGUGCUUCCAGGGUAGAACCAGCAGGAAACUGGGAUCCUGUUGAUGGCUCUGCAGGGCAGCCAAGGGUAUAGAGCAGACAUUAGGCAGUGCUUGGAAAUAAAGCAGAACCAUGCACCCAGCAACACCUUUGAUCUCGACCAUAUGGAGCUUCACCAAGCUCUGGAAAAAAAUCUCCCUUGCCUCCACAGCCGGCCGAGAGAAGCAGGGGCCCCCAGAUGGCCAGAUACCAUGGGCGCCCGCACCCCAUGGAUGAUCUCAUCCUCUGAUUGGUCCCUGUGGCAAAGACAGAAGACUCGCUUCUCCAGCUGGAGGCAAGUCCGUGUCCCCAGCCUUGGGUGAGGUUGAUGGUUUUCACAGCUCGGUUUUGGGGGACAAAUAUUUAA